rnacentral:lncRNA from 1 species
GGCGGCGAGGCCGGGGGCUGUGGACCGGCCCGCCGGGGAGGGGCCAGGGAGAGGGGGGCGGCCCCUCGGUCAGCGCGGCCCGGAGGCCAGACCCGGUGCCCAGCUCCCCAGCGGGCGCCUGCCCUGGGCUGUAGUACGGGAGCCUCGGCAGUCUCGGGCGAGAGUUUCGGGAGAGGGUCCCGAGAUCCCGCCUUGCGGGGUUCGGAACCCGGCCCUGGCCCGCGACUCGGACCUACCCCGAGCAGGGCCCCGGUGAGGCCGCGGUGCCCCCGCUUUCAGAGCCCCGCCGCGCGCGGAACCGCAGGAGCAGGACGUCCACCGGCGGUUUGCGAGCGGCGGGCUCGGGAUUCUAGGCUUCUCCUAUUGUGACUAUUUGUAGUUUGUAAGUUUUUUUCUAGUGAACACUGUGGUGUUUUUUCAUUAAGAGCGGCGAUUUUUUCAAGGCGCCUGCAGAAGUUGAGCGGCCCGGCCCCGCAGUGUGAGCGGCCCCUUUCCAGACUGCUGGACUGCGCGUUCCUGGGCCCGGGACCCGGCUCCUCCUCCCUCGGCUCCCCGGCCGGCCCCGCCCCGCCCCCGCCCAUGCCCCGCCCUCCACUCCUGACCCCGCCCCUCCCCCGGCUGCGGCGAAAAUCCGGAGUGGCGGAUUGCCCUCUGCUCCGCGGGAGCCGGCUGUGGGCUCCUGCAGGAGCGGUGCCGGGGGUGCGGCUGACGCCGCUCGGCGCUCCCUCUUCUCACUCUGUCCUGGGCGAGCCACGCGGGGCAGCGCCGCGACCCCAGCCGCCGGCCCUGCCUCAGAAGCGGGUCAGGACCCGACUGAGCAUGCUCGCCCUCCAGCGCAGCGUGGCUCGACCAGGUGGACGCUGCCGGGACCCGGGGUCGGACCGCGCAGGGGAGGCGCAGGUGCGUGGUCCGGCCGCAGGUGCAGGGGACCUGGCUGGAAGGCGGGGGAGGGGCAUCUGGCCUGCAGGCUUGCCAGCCAGCCUGUCCCAGCUCUGCGUCUCUCCAGCUUCCUUCCUAAAUCACCACCACCACCUGCCCUAGGAGUGGAGCCCUUGGGUUGGAGCCAGCUGAUUGGAUGUGAGCUCUAAG